UGUACGGCCAGUAACGGAUACGACCCGCCCGUUAGUAAAACCAUUAGGGUAGUGGUUCACCGUAAGUAAUGUCUUCGACGCUUAUAUUAACGUCUGUCCAAAUUAUCCCCUGACGGCCCAUCAACCGCCGACUUACGACCAAAAACACUUACCAAUUUGGACACUAAAUACUUUACUUUGGUCCAAAUCGCUAAGAAAUAGCUCGGAAACCGACUUCGUUAAUUAAAGGUUUUUCCAAAAAACUAAAUUGAUAUUUCUUUAAAAUGAUAAACCUAGGUUCCGAUAUUUAUUGGAUUUUAAAGUUAACCGCUGGUUCGAUUCGCCUCCCGGCAGACUGGUCCAAAUAAAGUUGGUAAAAACAUUCGUUUCACCACCAAUUUAUCCUCCCUUCCACUAAAUCGGUAGAAAAGAGGGGCAACCACAGCCCCCAUAUAUUAUCGUCACCUACGGUGGUGAUAAACGGUGGCCGCCUUCGGCCGAUGACACUAGGCUCCUACCACCGCUUCUGGCAGUUUUCCGUCUGGAAAAACUUUCGGUUUCCACGGUGGAAAAUCCGGAUGCUGGCCAAAUGUCCACUUUUAAAACUUACCGAGACGAUUAUUUUGUGGAUUCGUAUCGGAAAAGGUCGGCGGUGGUGGUUUCCAGCUAAAUUUUAAGCCUUAUACUAUCGUCCCCGUGUAAAACUUGGUUACGGUCGAUAAUGGUGCGGAGGCGCGCUACCCAGAAACGCCUGCGGGUUAAAAAAAUAAAUAAGUAUAAAUUUAAUAUAUCGGUUACCACCUAUCCACUAUAUAUCCGGAGUGGUUUUCGUAUAUUAUUGUUAAAUUUUUAAGACCAACCAACGUUUGGGUUAACUAUUUUUUAAAUUUAUUCGUCACCGAUUAUCCGAAAUGUUACCAAGUUAAUAGGACCAGCGCUUUAACUGGAAAAUCCGUAAUUUAUUAUUAGCCGAUAGUAAAUUACUGCUGGAGCGCCGAAAAUUCCGUGGCCUCCCGAUACCCAUAAACAGCCCAAUCCAGUUAUUGGAAAGGUAAACGAUAUUUUCUGCCACCGAUUACGGCUAACUAUAAAUUUAACCAUAAAAAAGGCGACUAAAUGUACGGUUUCGUGGUCGUCUUUGCGAAAAAUUUCGCCGUUCAAAUAAAAGAUUCUUCUUUGUAUGAAAAACUCGGGGAAAACGCUGAAAUUAAUUUUUCGAAGUGAGCGUAGAACAAUUAAGGCGAAAAUAAAGAAAGCUCGCAUUAAGUUACUAUAUGUAGGUUGCGGCCCAAAUCUGUUAAAGGCGAAUUGUUACCUUUUGACUGCCUAAAUUCACUUUAAUUAAUAAGUUUUAUUUGGAUACUUUACGGUGGAAAUUUAUUUACUGUUAGAACGAUAAAUCUGUCUUAAUCGGAUUGGUCCGCCCGGUAAGAGAUAAAACAGACAAAUGAAUCAAAACCUACAGCUGUGGUGAUUUUAUUCGGAAUUUCUUCGUUUGUUUGGCCGAUAAUUUUUCGGACGUUUCUCCAUUUUCCGGGUUUGCGGAAAUUUUAAUAUCCGAAUUACUAAAUCGGCUGGAGACUGGCCGUAAGAACCGAAUUUUUCGUGACGUGGACUGCGAUUUUGGUACGGUGAUGUUUCGCCUCGGUCCUCCAAUUUCAAUUCUAAUUAUUUUCUACCACAUUCGAUUUUUAGUCCACCAAAAAUAUAGGAAAGAGUCGAAUCUAAACCUUCCAAUCCGCUGUCGUUACUGUAGACCGAGAGUAAAUUUCAAACUCUUUCCUAUAUUUUUCGCGGACUUUUACUUUUCCGAACAGAGGUAUGGCGCACCGAUGUCGUUCCAACUUAACCAUCGCC
rnacentral:lncRNA from 1 species